rnacentral:lncRNA from 1 species
AUGCACUUCGCGGUGGACCCAGUGCGCCCCCUGGUGCUGCGCUCCUCUGCCGGCCUGCAGGUGCUUUUCCUGGCCGCAGCUGCGGCCCGCGGGGGCGUCGCCUACAAGCCCUUCUUCGCUCUCUUGCCUCCGGUGGACGCGUUCAGCCGCAGCUUUGCGCUCACAGCGCAGCCGGGCUUUUCCAACGUGGCGGUGCUGCUGGCGCGCGAGCCCACCCCGGUGCUCCUUGAUCAGCAGCCGCUGCCCAACCUGCACUGGCGCCUAAUCCCCGGCGGCCCGGAACCGCGUCACGGGCAGCAUUCUGGUGAAAGCCAGGCCGCCGCUCCGGGUUUCGUCUGGACCGAGGUGGCAUAUGGACCUGAGCCCGGAGUGGUGCACUUCCUGGAGACUCGCGGGCUGCCCGUGGGCGUGCUCAGCUUCGGCACCGCCCCUGGCGCGGGCUUCGGGACCCAGGCCAUGGGGCAGCCAAGAGUGGAUAUUCUGACUGAGGAAGAUCUGAACCCUCCUACAGAAUUCUAUCCCCUCCUAGAAUCUUCCCUGGUGAUGCCACUCCAGUUCCCAGGAUCCUGUAAGGACCAUGUAUGCUCCAGUGGGACCACAUGUCACCUUGUGAAGCACAAACCUGAGUGUGUGGCCAGCACCCAGGCCACUGAGAUCAUGUUCAGUCCCAAGACAAUAUCUCUGAAGGACUCCAAUACAGUGUCCAUCUCCAGCUCUAAAACCACGGCAGUGGCCAAACCGGGAUCAGAGAGCACACCUGAAGCAGAACCAGGGCUUGUAUCUGUGGCCGUGAAUGAACUUGAGCCUCAAUCUUUAGCUUUGGUUAAACCAGAACUUGAACCUCUGGCUCUAAAAGAACCAAUUCCUGAGACCCUGGUUGUGACUGAACCAGCACCUGCACCUUUCCCCCUGCCCGUGCCCACAGCUGAACCAGAGUCCAAACCCAAGACAGUGUCUAAGGCUGGGUCAGAAACCAUCUCAGCAGCCAAGCUGGGGCUCAAGGUGGUGGCAGUGACUGAACCAGGCUUAGAGGCUGUGACUAUGGCAAAGCAAGAACUUGAAACUGUGGCUGGGUCCAAAAUGGUGUCUGAGGCCAAGUCGGAGACAGUGGGUGUCUCUAGUAAGGGGCAGGGGGACAUCACAGGGGGUACCUGCUGGGCUUCCGGGCUACCAUACAUCUACACUUUCGAUGGCUACUCUUUCCCUGUGUCUGGAGGCUGUUCCUACAUACUGAGCCAUUGCCCUCAGGCCCUCCCCAGUGGCCUCCCUGCCUUCCAGCUGUGGAUCGCCAGCUCUGGAGAGAGGCAGCCCAUGCGCUUUGUCACGAUGCGCAUCUUUGGUGUCACUAUCACUGCUGUCAAGCAUGAGUUCGGCUUUGUCCAGGUAAGAAUCAUUAUGUAUGGAAUCCUGGGAAACUGUAUCCUUCUCUGUCCCUCAUUUUUGACAACUCUACAGUGGAGGCAAUUAUAU